rnacentral:rRNA from 1 species
GUAGGUGGCAAGCGUUGUCCGGAAUUAUUGGGCGUAAAGCGCGCGCAGGCGGUCCUUUAAGUCUGAUGUGAAAGCCCACGGCUCAACCGUGGAGGGUCAUUGGAAACUGGGGGACUUGAGUACAGAAGAGGAAAGCGGAAUUCCAAGUGUAGCGGUGAAAUGCGUAGAGAUUUGGAGGAACACCAGUGGCGAAGGCGGCUUUCUGGUCUGUAACUGACGCUGAGGCGCGAAAGCGUGGGGAGCAAACAGGGAUUAGAUACCCUGGUAGUCCACGCCGUAAACGAUGAGUGCUAAGUGUUAGGGGGGUUUCCGCCCCCUUAGUUCUACAGCUAACGCAUUAAGCACUCCGCCUGGGGAGUACGGCCGCAAGGCUG